rnacentral:rRNA from 1 species
CCUACGGAGGGCUGCAGUGGGGAAUAUUGGACAAUGGGGGCAACCCUGAUCCAGCCAUGCCGCGUGUGUGAAGAAGGCCCUCGGGUUGUAAAGCACUUUCAGUGAGGAAGAACGCCUGGUGGUUAAUACCCAUCAGGAAAGACAUCACUCACAGAAGAAGCACCGGCUAACUCCGUGCCAGCAGCCGCGGUAAUACGGAGGGUGCGAGCGUUAAUCGGAAUUACUGGGCGUAAAGCGCGCGUAGGUGGCUUGAUAAGCCGGUUGUGAAAGCCCCGGGCUCAACCUGGGAACGGCAUCCGGAACUGUCAAGCUAGAGUGCAGGAGAGGAAGGUAGAAUUCCCGGUGUAGCGGUGAAAUGCGUAGAGAUCGGGAGGAAUACCAGUGGCGAAGGCGGCCUUCUGGACUGACACUGACACUGAGGUGCGAAAGCGUGGGUAGCAAACAGGAUUAGAUACCCGGGUAGUC